rnacentral:tRNA from 1 species
AUUUUCUUAGUAUAAUCAAUACUAAUGAUUUCCAAUCAUUAAAUUCAAGUUUAACUCCUGGAGAAAAUA